UACGGGGGGGGCAAGCGUUGUUCGGAAUUACUGGGCGUAAAGGGCUCGUAGGUGGCCAACUAAGUCAGACGUGAAAUCCCUCGGCUUAACCGGGGAACUGCGUCUGAUACUGGAUGGCUUGAGGUUGGGAGAGGGACGCGGAAUUCCAGGUGUAGCGGUGAAAUGCGUAGAUAUCUGGAGGAACACCGGUGGCGAAGGCGGCGUCCUGGACCAAUUCUGACACUGAGGAGCGAAAGCCAGGGGAGCAAACGGG
rnacentral:rRNA from 1 species